GUGCAAGUUGAUGUUUUCUGCAUGUUUUUUGGCUUUUCUGGUUUACAAUACCAAAUGAAGUCCAAUUGCCCUGAAAUGUUAUUAUUAUUUUUUCUGGAUCAAAAGAAGACCUCAAAGCAUCGAGAGGAGGCCACACGCUGCACAAGGGAUGCAACACAUAUCAGGGCGCGCCAUGUUGUUUGUUGGCCCCCCUCUGUGGCCCCUGGUGUAACUCUUUGUCCUAUAAAU
rnacentral:lncRNA from 1 species